GAUGAACGCUGGCGGCGUGCCUAAUACAUGCAAGUCGAGCGAACGGACGAGAAGCUUGCUUCUCUGAUGUUAGCGGCGGACGGGUGAGUAACACGUGGAUAACCUACCUAUAAGACUGGGAUAACUUCGGGAAGCCGUAGCUAAUACCGGAUAAUAUUUUGAACCGCAUGGUUCAAAAGUGAAAGACGGUCUUGCUGUCACUUAUAGAUGGAUCCGCGCUGCAUUAGCUAGUUGGUAAGGUAACGGCUUACCAAGGCAACGAUGCAUAGCCGACCUGAGAGGGUGAUCGGCCACACUGGAACUGAGACACGGUCCAGACUCCUACGGGAGGCAGCAGUAGGGAAUCUUCCGCAAUGGGCGAAGGCCUGACGGAGCAACGCCGCGUGAGUGAUGAAGGUCUUCGGAUCGUAAAACUCUGUUAUUAGGGAAGAACAUAUGUGUAAGUAACUGUGCACAUCUUGACGGUACCUAAUCAGAAAGCCACGGCUAACUACGUG
rnacentral:rRNA from 1 species